rnacentral:rRNA from 1 species
UACGGAGGGUGCAAGCGUUAUCCGGAUUCACUGGGUUUAAAGGGUGCGUAGGUGGGUCUGUAAGUCAGUGGUGAAAUCUCCGAGCUUAACUUGGAAACUGCCGUUGAUACUAUCUGUCUUGAAUAUUGUGGAGGUGAGCGGAAUAUGUCAUGUAGCGGUGAAAUGCUUAGAUAUGACAUAGAACACCAAUUGCGAAGGCAGCUCGCUACACAAAUAUUGACUCUGAGGCACGAAAGCGUGGGGAUCAAACAGG